rnacentral:lncRNA from 1 species
ACGGCAGUUCGCUUUGCUGUGCCUCGGUUGAGGGGGAGGGUGGGGUGGGGGGAAGUACAGUGGCCUGUGUCUGAAAGGGGAGGACGGAAGGGAUAUCUGCAGGCUUUACACCAGCUGCGGGCCACCGAGUUGGAGCAGAGAAAUCAGAGACCUAGGCCACUGUGGGUUCCCUCUGUCUGUCUCAUGCUUGGUGCGCUGUCUGUUCUUCAUCCUUCCAGGUCCAAGCAGGUGACCUGUCACUUACCCUUGUGACCCAGGUAGGCAGAAUGUGUGACAACAGAAUGUGCUGCGGAGGGGUGUGUGUGUGUGUGUGUGUGUAUAAAGCCUGGCAGAGCGAAUACUCGAAUGCAUCUGUUCUUAUAAGUACCGUCGUCUCUUGGCAUCCAUAGGAGAUUGGUUCCAGGAGCCCCACAAAUACCAAGGUCCACAGACGUUUGAGUCCUUUAUGUGACACAGCAUAGUUACGACUGACCUACACACAUCCCCCACACACUCCAGACAGGUCCAGACAGGUCUAGAGCACGGUGCCUGCUAUAAUGGAAAUGCUCUGUGAAGAGCUACACUGGAUUUAGGAGAUGAUGACAGGAAAAAAGUCUGAAUACGUUCAGUACAGGCACAAUUUUCUUUUUUCAUACCAGAUAUAAGCUCAGGAGCACUUAACCACUGAGCCACAUCCCUGGCCCUUUUUAUUUUUUAUUUUUGAGAAAGGGUCUUGCUCCCUUGCUAGGGCCUUACUAAAUUGCUGAUGCUUGCCCUUGAAUUUGGGAUCCUCUUGCCUCAGCCUCCUGAGUCACUGGGAUUACAGGUACUGUGUCUGGCUGGCACCAUUAAAAAAAUUUUUUUUAGAUCUGCUGUUGGUUGAGUCUUCAGAUGCAGAACCCGUGGAUGCACAGGCUGGCUGGACAAUGAUGAGGAUGAAGAUGAGUGGGGGGGCUGGGCUGGACUCAGCGGUGCGGUGCUUGGGCAGCAUGGGCCAGGCCGGUGUGCAAUCCCGAGCACUUAGCACAGAGACAAUCCAGUCAACUCUCUCCUCAUCUGAUCCCAGGAUCUGGUAAAGGCUCCCAGCAGUCUCCCAGCUUUCUCCUGAUCAGCGUUCAACAGUGAUUCUUUGUGGAGAGUUUGCUAGUUCUGGGUGCCAAUACUCUCUCCCACUAUGGCUGUUUCAGAGUUGGAAGAGGUGGGUGAGGUCAGGCCUGUCCACUGGUGCCCCAGGCUCCCUGUACCUCCCACAGAGCACACCCCCAGCACAACUGCCUUCAAUUCUAAAAACACUGAGAGCUGUCCAGAAUGGAAGCUGCCUUCCAUGUUUAGGGCACGAAGACUCCAUUUCCGGUGCACAAAGCUAAAGCGCAGCACUUCUAAGCCUUUACCAAGAAACAGAGCAAGGAGCUGCAGCCUGCUUGGUGCCGGGAUGAGAUCUUGACUUAAGAGGAAGGUGCUCUGAGCGGCAGAUGGACGGGCUCCAGGUAAUCCAGGGUGUGCCCUGGUUGACGCCACGGCCCCCGUGGGGACGGGAGGCAUCUUGCCUUGGGGCUUCAAUCUUCUCUCUCACUGGGCUGUGGGGAGCAGAGCAUGGCUAGCUCUUUCCCCAUUAAUUGGACAAACAUGUAUUGAGUUCCUCCUGUGGGCUGUGGGUCAUGCUAGGUCCUGGGGCAUAGAAGAAGGAACGAGAAAUUAAAAGAAGGUGUUCUGGAAGGAUGUAGAACAGGCAGCUCCCCUGGGAUGUGGCUGCUGGAGGGAAGCUGCUUCCCCUCUUGCUCCUCUGGGGCCCAGCAAAUCUCACUGUGGUGUGCAGCAGAGCCGUGACCACUAACCCUAUCUAUCACCCAGAGGGACUUCCUCCUCCUCCCCAAACAGGAAGGUGUGCACAGCAGGCCCAGGACCUCAGAUCCUAUCCCUGCCUCCAAGGUGGCCUCGUCAACUAGGACAGCUGCACCUAGCGACGGUAACCCCAGCAGCUAACCGCCUGAGGUCCUAGACCCUCCUCUGCCU